rnacentral:lncRNA from 1 species
UCCCGCCCCAGGGGCGGGCUGCCGCCGCCCUCUGCAGCUGAGUCAGUGCAGUUCCUCACCUACCUUCUCUGCUCACCGCUGUGUGCUAGCAAUCGGAGGACCCUUGGCACACGGAGCGACAGGGGCCUCCCCCACAGACACCUCAUUUUGGGAAAGAAGAAUAACUGGAAAUUUUAAGAAGUUACUAUCUCUGCUAUGGGGAUGGAUAGUCAGACAGCAAUGUUCACAAAUUACUCUUGAAACUUGAUGCAAACAACCUGUUUAAAAACUGAUGUAACGAGAGGAAUUUCAUGGAUGCAAAUGAACACCUGUGAAAAUUCUUCGGCAAGAACUGUUUCAUUUAGCAACACCAGGUUAGCAGUUUGAGAGAGGAUCUUUUUUGGGUCUACAUGCCCAAAUUUACAGACUGUUUUGCUACUUGAAUCUGCCAUAAUGUUUGUUGAAUAAAUAAUCUCUAUCUUUGA